rnacentral:rRNA from 2 species
UUAAGCGACUAAGCGUACACGGUGGAUGCCCUGGCAGUCAGAGGCGAUGAAGGACGUGCUAAUCUGCGAAAAGCGCCGGCGAGGUGAUAUGAACCCUUGACCCGGCGAUGUCCGAAUGGGGAAACCCAGUGUGAUUCGUCACACUAUCGUUAACUGAAUACAUAGGUUAACGAGGCGAACCGGGGGAACUGAAACAUCUAAGUACCCCGAGGAAAAGAAAUCAACCGAGAUUCCCCCAGUAGCGGCGAGCGAACGGGGAGCAGCCCGGAGUCUGAAUCAGCUUGUGUGUUAGUGGAACGGUCUGGAAAGUCCGACGGUACAGGGUGAUAGUCCCGUACACGAAAGCACACUUGCUGUGAACUCGAAGAGUAGGGCGGGACACGUGGUAUCCUGUCUGAAUAUGGGGGGACCAUCCUCCAAGGCUAAAUACUCCUGACUGACCGAUAGUGAACCAGUACCGUGAGGGAAAGGCGAAAAGAACCCCGGCGAGGGGAGUGAAAAAGAACCUGAAACCGUGUACGUACAAGCAGUGGGAGCACCUUCGUGGUGUGACUGCGUACCUUUUGUAUAAUGGGUCAGCGACUUAUAUUCUGUAGCAAGGUUAACCGUAUAGGGGAGCCGAAGGGAAACCGAGUCUUAACUGGGCGUUAAGUUGCAGGGUAUAGACCCGAAACCCGGUGAUCUAGCCAUGGGCAGGUUGAAGGUUGGGUAACACUAACUGGAGGACCGAACCGACUAAUGUUGAAAAAUUAGCGGAUGACCUGUGGCUGGGGGUGAAAGGCCAAUCAAACCGGGAGAUAGCUGGUUCUCCCCGAAAGCUAUUUAGGUAGCGCCUCGUGAACUCAUCUUCGGGGGUAGAGCACUGUUUCGGCUAGGGGGCCAUCCCGGCUUACCAACCCGAUGCAAACUACGAAUACCGAAGAAUGUUAUCACGGGAGACACACGGCGGGUGCUAACGUCCGUCGUGAAGAGGGAAACAACCCAGACCGCCAGCUAAGGUCCCAAAGUCAUGGUUAAGUGGGAAACGAUGUGGGAAGGCACAGACAGCCAGGAUGUUGGCUUAGAAGCAGCCAUCAUUUAAAGAAAGCGUAAUAGCUCACUGGUCGAGUCGGCCUGCGCGGAAGAUGUAACGGGGCUAAACCAUGCACCGAAGCUGCGGCAGCGACACUAUGUGUUGUUGGGUAGGGGAGCGUUCUGUAAGCCGUUGAAGGUGUGCUGUGAGGCAUGCUGGAGGUAUCAGAAGUGCGAAUGCUGACAUAAGUAACGAUAAAGCGGGUGAAAAGCCCGCUCGCCGGAAGACCAAGGGUUCCUGUCCAACGUUAAUCGGGGCAGGGUGAGUCGACCCCUAAGGCGAGGCCGAAAGGCGUAGUCGAUGGGAAACAGGUUAAUAUUCCUGUACUUGGUGUUACUGCGAAGGGGGGACGGAGAAGGCUAUGUCAGCCGGGCGACGGUUGUCCCGGUUUAAGCAUGUAGGCGGAGGUUCCAGGUAAAUCCGGUACCUUAUUAACGCUGAGGUGUGAUGACGAGGCACUACGGUGCUGAAGUGAUAAAUGCCCUGCUUCCAGGAAAAGCCUCUAAGCAUCAGGUAACACGAAAUCGUACCCCAAACCGACACAGGUGGUCAGGUAGAGAAUACCAAGGCGCUUGAGAGAACUCGGGUGAAGGAACUAGGCAAAAUGGUGCCGUAACUUCGGGAGAAGGCACGCUGAUGUGUAGGUGAAGCCCCUGCGGGCGGAGCUGAAAUCAGUCGAAGAUACCAGCUGGCUGCAACUGUUUAUUAAAAACACAGCACUGUGCAAACACGAAAGUGGACGUAUACGGUGUGACGCCUGCCCGGUGCCGGAAGGUUAAUUGAUGGGGUUAGCUGUAAGGCGAAGCUCUUGAUCGAAGCCCCGGUAAACGGCGGCCGUAACUAUAACGGUCCUAAGGUAGCGAAAUUCCUUGUCGGGUAAGUUCCGACCUGCACGAAUGGCGUAAUGAUGGCCAGGCUGUCUCCACCCGAGACUCAGUGAAAUUGAACUCGCUGUGAAGAUGCAGUGUACCCGCGGCAAGACGGAAAGACCCCGUGAACCUUUACUAUAGCUUGACACUGAACACUGGUCCUUGAUGUGUAGGAUAGGUGGGAGGCUUUGAAGCGUGGACGCCAGUCUGCGUGGAGCCGCCCUUGAAAUACCACCCUUUAAUGGCUGGUGUUCUAACGUAGACCCGUAAUCCGGGUUGCGGACAGUGUCUGGUGGGUAGUUUGACUGGGGCGGUCUCCUCCCAAAGAGUAACGGAGGAGCACGAAGGUUGGCUAAUCCUGGUCGGACAUCAGGAGGUUAGUGCAAUGGCAUAAGCCAGCUUGACUGCGAGCGUGACGGCGCGAGCAGGUGCGAAAGCAGGUCAUAGUGAUCCGGUGGUUCUGAAUGGAAGGGCCAUCGCUCAACGGAUAAAAGGUACUCCGGGGAUAACAGGCUGAUACCGCCCAAGAGUUCAUAUCGACGGCGGUGUUUGGCACCUCGAUGUCGGCUCAUCACAUCCUGGGGCUGAAGUAGGUCCCAAGGGUAUGGCUGUUCGCCAUUUAAAGUGGUACGCGAGCUGGGUUUAGAACGUCGUGAGACAGUUCGGUCCCUAUCUGCCGUGGGCGCUGGAGAAUUGAGGGGGCUGCUCCUAGUACGAGAGGACCGGAGUGGACGCAUCACUGGUGUUCGGGUUGUCAUGCCAAUGGCACUGCCCGGUAGCUAAAUGCGGAAGAGAUAAGUGCUGAAAGCAUCUAAGCACGAAACUUGCCCCGAGAUGAGUUCUCCCUGAGACUUUAAGUCUCCUGAAGGAACGUUAAAGACUAUGACGUUGAUAGGUCGGGUGUGUAAGCGCAGCGAUGCGUUGAGCUAACCGAUACUAAUGAACCGUGAGGCUUAACCUU